rnacentral:rRNA from 1 species
UACGGAGGGUGCAAACGUUGUUCGGAAUUACUGGGCGUAAAGCGCGUGUAGGCGGCAUAGUAAGUCAGGUGUGAAAUCCCUUGGCUCAACCGAGGAAGUGCACUUGAAACUGCUAAGCUAGAGUACGGGAGAGGGUAGUAGAAUUCCCGGUGUAGAGGUGAAAUUCGUAGAUAUCGGGAGGAAUACCGGUGGCGAAGGCGGCUACCUGGACCGAUACUGACGCUGAGACGCGAAAGCGUGGGGAGCAAACAGG